UAGGGAAUCUUCGGCAAUGGGGGGAACCCUGACCGAGCAACGCCGCGUGAGUGAAGAAGGUUUUCGGAUCGUAAAGCUCUGUUGUAAGAGAAGAAUGUGUGUGGGAGUGGAAAAUCCACAUAAUGACGGUAUCUUACCAGAAAGGGACGGCUAACUACGUGCCAGCAGCCGCGGCAAUACGUAGGUCCCGAGCGUUGUCCGGAUUUAUUGGGCGUAAAGCGAGCGCAGGCGGUUUUGUAAGUCUGAAGUCAAAGGCAUUGGCUCAACCAAUGUACGCUUUGGAAACUGCGAGACUUGAGUGCAGAAGGGGAGAGUGGAAUUCCAUGUGUAGCGGUGAAAUGCGUAGAUAUAUGGAGGAACACCGGUGGCGAAAGCGGCUCUCUGGUCUGUAACUGACGCUGAGGCUCGAAAGCGUGGGUAGCGAACAGGAUUAGAUACCCUGGUAGU
rnacentral:rRNA from 1 species